AAUGUCUUUGAGAAUUUCUUGGAUUUGUUGCCUGCUAAUUGGAGGGAUAACCUGUUAUCCUCCACCUAAAGGUAAUUAUAGCUAUAUUCCCCAAAAUCAAGUAAAAGGAACUGGCCGCAAUGCAGCGGAAGCUACCGGCUCCCGUGCCUCGACAGGUGAAGCUACCGGUUCCCGUACCUCAGCAGGUGAAGCAGGCAGUAGUACCUGAUCCUAAAACUGAGUUGUAAAACAAACAAAU
rnacentral:lncRNA from 13 species